rnacentral:rRNA from 1 species
GCGGCCGUAACUAUAACGGUCCUAAGGUAGCGAAAUUCCUUGUCGGGUAAGUUCCGACCCGCACGAAAGGCGUAACGAUUUGGGCACUGUCUCAACGAGAGACUCGGUGAAAUCAUAGUACCUGUGAAGAUGCAGGUUACCCGCGACAGGACGGAAAGACCCCGUGGAGCUUUACUGUAGCCUGAUAUUGAAAUUCGGCACAGCUUGUACAGGAUAGGUAGGAGCCUUUGAAACGUGAGCGCUAGCUUACGUGGAGGCGCUGGUGGGAUACUACCCUAGCUGUGUUGGCUUUCUAACCCGCACCACUUAUCGUGGUGGGAGACAGUGUCAGGCGGGCAGUUUGACUGGGGCGGUCGCCUCCUAAAAGGUAACGGAGGCGCUCAAAGGUUCCCUCAGAAUGGUUGGAAAUCAUUCAUAGAGUGUAAAGGCAUAAGGGAGCUUGACUGCGAGACCUACAAGUCGAGCAGGGUCGAAAGACGGACUUAGUGAUCCGGUGGUUCCGCAUGGAAGGGCCAUCGCUCAACGGAUAAAAGCUACCCCGGGGAUAACAGGCUUAUCUCCCCCAAGAGUUCACAUCGACGGGGAGGUUUGGCACCUCGAUGUCGGCUCAUCGCAUCCUGGGGCUGUAGUCGGUCCCAAGGGUUGGGCUGUUCGCCCAUUAAAGCGGUACGCGAGCUGGGUUCAGAACGUCGUGAGACAGUUCGGUCCCUAUCCGUCGUGGGCGUAGGAAAUUUGAGAGGAGCUGUCCUUAGUACGAGAGGACCGGGAUGGACAUACCUCUGGUGUACCAGUUGUCGUGCCAACGGCAUAGCUGGGUAGCUAUGUGUGGACGGGAUAAGUGCUGAAAGCAUCUAAGCAUGAAGCCCCCCUCAAGAUGAGAUUUCCCAACUUCGGUUAUAAGAUCCCUCAAAGAUGAUGAGGUUAAUAGGUUCGAGGUGGAAGCAUGGUGACAUGUGGAGCUGACGAAUACUAA